rnacentral:rRNA from 2 species
UUGGCAGGCGCUGCCUAUACAUGCAGUCGAACGAAACUUUCUUACACCGAAUGCUUGCAUUCACCGUAAGAAGUUGAGUGGCGGACGGGUGAGUAACACGUGGGUAACCUGCCUAAAAGAAGGGGAUAACACUUGGAAACAGGUGCUAAUACCGUAUAUCUCUAAGGAUCGCAUGAUCCUUAGAUGAAAGAUGGUUCUGCUAUCGCUUUUAGAUGGACCCGCGGCGUAUUAACUAGUUGGUGGGGUAACGGCCUACCAAGGUGAUGAUACGUAGCCGAACUGAGAGGUUGAUCGGCCACAUUGGGACUGAGACACGGCCCAAACUCCUACGGGAGGCAGCAGUAGGGAAUCUUCCACAAUGGACGCAAGUCUGAUGGAGCAACGCCGCGUGAGUGAAGAAGGUCUUCGGAUCGUAAAACUCUGUUGUUAGAGAAGAACACGAGUGAGAGUAACUGUUCAUUCGAUGACGGUAUCUAACCAGCAAGUCACGGCUAACUACGUGCCAGCAGCCGCGGUAAUACGUAGGUGGCAAGCGUUGUCCGGAUUUAUUGGGCGUAAAGGGAACGCAGGCGGUCUUUUAAGUCUGAUGUGAAAGCCUUCGGCUUAACCGGAGUAGUGCAUUGGAAACUGGAAGACUUGAGUGCAGAAGAGGAGAGUGGAACUCCAUGUGUAGCGGUGAAAUGCGUAGAUAUAUGGAAGAACACCAGUGGCGAAAGCGGCUCUCUGGUCUGUAACUGACGCUGAGGUUCGAAAGCGUGGGUAGCAAACAGGAUUAGAUACCCUGGUAGUCCACGCCGUAAACGAUGAAUGCUAGGUGUUGGGAGGGUUUCCGCCCUUCAGUGCCGCAGCUAACGCAAUAAGCAUUCCGCC